UCACAAAAAAAAAACAGAAUUUUUUCUCUCAAAUCCCCUCUUUCCCCAGUCUUGGCUCCGGCCGAUGACUGCCAUACCGACCACUUCUCGCCGGCGAUGGCGUCGCCGCGCACGGUGGCCGAAAAAUUGAAAAAACACCUUUUCACUCCUUUUUUCCGAGCAAAGCCCGAUUUUGGGUUAAAACAGUCCAAAAGGCUCUCUAAAGCAAAAAAAAAAAAGAAAAAGAAAGGGAAAAAGAAAAAGAAACAAAAACCCUUCGGUUCCCUCCUCGCUGCCGGUGGGGUCCUUUCGGCAAGCCCGUUGGCCUGACCACCCUCAAGACGGAGGAGUCUCCGAUUAGGCCCUCAAAGGUCUGUUAGCGGAGUCGGUGGUGGCAGGUGGUGGCAGAGGGCGGAGGGUAGCGGCUAGGGUUUCUACCCCUCUUGUUUUUUUUUUUACUGAAAAUUAGAUAAGGUUUUGGGCUUAUUCGGCAACUAGGGUUUAGGGCUUUGUAAUUAUAAAAUUGGGCUAGGGUAUUUUGGGUUAAAUUUUGUUGUAAAUGGACUUUUUUGUUUAUUAUUUUUUUAGGCCCUGGCCGAAAUUGGGCCUUACACCUAUAUUCCUUAUUCGGUAGGAGUACUAAUAUUGUAAUAUGUCAUCGUACCAAAAAAUUAUGUUUUUAAAAUUAGAUCGAAUCAAUCGAGUUCGAUUAUAAAUUAUUAAAA